rnacentral:rRNA from 1 species
AUACGAAAGGUGCAAGCGUUGUUCGGAUUUACUGGGCGUAAAGAGAGUGUAGGUUGUUUAUUAAGUCGGAUGUGAAAUCCCGGGGCUCAACCUCGGAACUGCAUUCGAUACUGAUAGGCUAGAGUUUGGGAGGGGUAAGCGGAAUUCCGUGUGUAGCAGUGAAAUGCGUAGAUAUACGGAGGAACACCUGAGGCGAAGGCGGCUUACUGGACCAAUACUGACACUGAGACUCGAAAGCGUGGGUAGCAAACAGGAUUAGAUACCCUAGUAGUCC